AGAGUUUGAUCCUGGCUCAAGAUGAACGCUGGCGGCGUGCUUAACACAUGCAAGUCGAGCGAAGCACUUAAGUUUGAUUCUUCGGAUGAAGACUUUUGUGACUGAGCGGCGGACGGGUGAGUAACGCGUGGGUAACCUGCCUCAUACAGGGGGAUAACAGUUAGAAAUGACUGCUAAUACCGCAUAAGACCACAGGGUCGCAUGACCCGGUGGUAAAAACUCCGGUGGUAUGAGAUGGACCCGCGUCUGAUUAGCUAGUUGGUGGGGUAACGGCUCACCAAGGCGACGAUCAGUAGCCGACCUGAGAGGGUGACCGGCCACAUUGGGACUGAGACACGGCCCAAACUCCUACGGGAGGCAGCAGUGGGGAAUAUUGCACAAUGGGGGAAACCCUGAUGCAGCGACGCCGCGUGAAGGAUGAAGUAUUUCGGUAUGUAAACUUCUAUCAGCAGGGAAGAAAAUGACGGUACCUGACUAAGAAGCCCCGGCUAACUACGUGCCAGCAGCCGCGGUAAUACGUAGGGGGCAAGCGUUAUCCGGAUUUACUGGGUGUAAAGGGAGCGUAGACGGCAUGGCAAGUCUGAAGUGAAAGCCCGGGGCUCAACCCCGGGACUGCUUUGGAAACUGUCAGGCUAGAGUGCUGGAGAGGUAAGUGGAAUUCCUAGUGUAGCGGUGAAAUGCGUAGAUAUUAGGAGGAACACCAGUGGCGAAGGCGGCUUACUGGACAGUGACUGACGUUGAGGCUCGAAAGCGUGGGGAGCAAACAAAAUUAGAUACCCUGGUAGUCCACGCCGUAAACGA
rnacentral:rRNA from 1 species